UCCCUUGUGGCUCAGCUGGUAAAGAACCUGCCUGCAAUGCAGGAGAACUGGGUUCAAUCCCUGGGUUGGGAA
rnacentral:tRNA from 1 species